rnacentral:rRNA from 1 species
CCAAGGAGUCUAACAUGUGCGCGAGUCAUUGGGCUCUACGAACCCCACAGGCGCAAUGAAAGUGAAGGCGGCCGCUGGCCACUCAGGUGGGAUCCCCGCCCUCGGGGCGGGGCGCACCACCGGCCCGUCUCGCCGGCAGCGUCCGGGAGGCGGAGCAAGAGCGUACACGUUGGGACCCGAAAGAUGGUGAACUAUGCCUGAGCAGGACGAAGCCAGAGGAAACUCUGGUGGAGGUCCGUAGCGAUUCUGACGUGCAAAUCGAUCGUCAAACUUGGGUAUAGGGGCGAAAGACUAAUCGAACCGUCUA